rnacentral:tRNA from 1 species
GCCCGGGUGGCGGAACAGGUCAGACGCGAUCGGUUUAAACCCGAUUGUCCUUUGGGGCGUGUGGGUUCAAGUCCCACCCCGGGCA